rnacentral:rRNA from 1 species
AUGAUGAACGCUAGCUACAGGCUUAACACAUGCAAGUCGAGGGGCAUCAGGAAGAAAGCUUGCUUUCUUUGCUGGCGACCGGCGCACGGGUGAGUAACACGUAUCCAACCUGCCCUUUACUCGGGGAUAGCCUUUCGAAAGAAAGAUUGAUACCCGAUAGUAUAAUGAUUCCGCAUGGUUUCAUUAUUAAAGGAUUCCGGUAAAGGAUGGGGAUGCGUUCCAUUAGGUUGUUGGUGAGGUAACGGCCCACCAAGCCUUCGAUGGAUAGGGGUUCUGAGAGGAAGGUCCCCCACAUUGGAACUGAGACACGGUCCAAACUCCUACGGGAGGCAGCAGUGAGGAAUAUUGGUCAAUGGGCGCUAGCCUGAACCAGCCAAGUAGCGUGAAGGAUGAAGGCUCUAUGGGUCGUAAACUUCUUUUAUAUAAGAAUAAAGUGCAGUAUGUAUACUGUUUUGUAUGUAUUAUAUGAAUAAGGAUCGGCUAACUCCGUGCCAGCAGCCGCGGUAAUACGGAGGAUCCGAGCGUUAUCCGGAUUUAUUGGGUUUAAAGGGAGCGUAGGUGGACUGGUAAGUCAGUUGUGAAAGUUUGCGGCUCAACCGUAAAAUUGCAGUUGAUACUGUCAGUCUUGAGUACAGUAGAGGUGGGCGGAAUUCGUGGUGUAGCGGUGAAAUGCUUAGAUAUCACGAAGAACUCCGAUUGCGAAGGCAGCUCACUGGACUGCAACUGACACUGAUGCUCGAAAGUGUGGGUAUCAAACAGGAUUAGAUACCCUGGUAGUCCACACAGUAAACGAUGAAUACUCGCUGUUUGCGAUAUACAGUAAGCGGCCAAGCGAAAGCAUUAAGUAUUCCACCUGGGGAGUACGCCGGCAACGGUGAAACUCAAAGGAAUUGACGGGGGCCCGCACAAGCGGAGGAACAUGUGGUUUAAUUCGAUGAUACGCGAGGAACCUUACCCGGGCUUAAAUUGCAGUGGAAUGAUGUGGAAACAUGUCAGUGAGCAAUCACCGCUGUGAAGGUGCUGCAUGGUUGUCGUCAGCUCGUGCCGUGAGGUGUCGGCUUAAGUGCCAUAACGAGCGCAACCCUUAUCUUUAGUUACUAACAGGUUAUGCUGAGGACUCUAGAGAGACUGCCGUCGUAAGAUGUGAGGAAGGUGGGGAUGACGUCAAAUCAGCACGGCCCUUACGUCCGGGGCUACACACGUGUUACAAUGGGGGGUACAGAAGGCAGCUAGCGGGUGACCGUAUGCUAAUCCCAAAAGCCUCUCUCAGUUCGGAUCGAAGUCUGCAACCCGACUUCGUGAAGCUGGAUUCGCUAGUAAUCGCGCAUCAGCCACGGCGCGGUGAAUACGUUCCCGGGCCUUGUACACACCGCCCGUCAAGCCAUGGGAGCCGGGGGUACCUGAAGUACGUAACCGCAAGGAUCGUCCUAGGGUAAAA